rnacentral:rRNA from 1 species
UACGGGGGGGGCAAGCGUUGUUCGGAAUUACUGGGCGUAAAGGGCUUGUAGGCGGCCAACUAAGUCAGACGUGAAAUCCCUCGGCUUAACCGGGGAACUGCGUCUGAUACUGGAUGGCUUGAGUUUGGGAGAGGGAUGCGGAAUUCCAGGUGUAGCGGUGAAAUGCGUAGAUAUCUGGAGGAACACCGGUGGCGAAGGCGGCAUCCUGGACCGGUAUUGACGCUGAUGAGCGAAAGCCAGGGGAGCAAACGGG